rnacentral:rRNA from 1 species
GACGAACGCUGGCGGCAUGCCUAACACAUGCAAGUCGAGCGAGCUGAUUCCCUUCGGGGUUGAAGCUAGCGGCGGACGGGUGAGUAACACGUGGGCAACCUGCCUCAUAGAGGGGAAUAGCCUUCCGAAAGGGAGAUUAAUACCGCAUAAGAUUGUAGCUUCGCAUGAAGCAGCAAUUAAAGGAGCAAUCCGCUAUGAGAUGGGCCCGCGGCGCAUUAGCUAGUUGGUGAGGUAACGGCUCACCAAGGCGACGAUGCGUAGCCGACCUGAGAGGGUGAUCGGCCACAUUGGGACUGAGACACGGCCCAGACUCCUACGGGAGGCAGCAGUGGGGAAUAUUGCACAAUGGGGGAAACCCUGAUGCAGCAAUGCCGCGUGAGUGAUGACGGCCUUCGGGUUGUAAAGCUCUGUCUUCGGGGACGAUAAUGACGGUACCCGAGGAGGAAGCCACGGCUAACUACGUGCCAGCCGCCGCCGUAACAC